UAUAAUCCUCCUUUUAAGAUUGGAAAGAUCGGGGGACGCAAGAUGGAGUGAUCAUAUCUCUGUUUCUCUUGCUGCUACAAGUACUUCGACUACUCGUUGAGACACAACAAACCAUUUUCUUCAAUUCCAAAAUUCCAGAAUGCCUAUGAAAUUCAUGUUCCAGUAUUAUUGUUGAUCAAAUUUUUUAGAGUUGAAAUUGUGAUUGAAUAUCUCAGUUUUUCAUAAACCAUUUCACUGAACAUCUCUAUUUGCUUCUC
rnacentral:lncRNA from 1 species